UGCCAGAUUCAAUCGUAUCUUCAAAAUUUACUCUUUAAAUCAUGAAUAUUUUGUUUCCAAAGUCAUAUUCUCCGAAUCACGCAGCAUUAAUAUUGAGGAAUUGAUUCACGCUGUUCGAUUUUCGCCGAUCUCAUCAGCUUAUCGCGUUUUUCAUCUUCUCCGAGCUAUUUUAUUGUUGUCUUUAUUCAAUAAUGGCAGAUUUCUUUUUCGAUGAUGAGCGCAAUGCCAUCAACAAACUGCACACAAUAUACAAAUUAGUACAAAGAGCCGAGGACGACGUUGAGGAUGUUGGAAAUCAGCUUUUUGGUGAUGGUUCUUCUGUGAUGUGAGGCCUGAUGUUAUACAUGAUGUUGGAGAAAAAGAAGAGAUUUGAGGAAUUGUAUGGUGUUGUGAGGCCUGAUGACAUGCUCAUCCACCAAAUAUGGUGAAAUGUAAGGGAUCUAGAUCCAUGCUGCCUUCUCAGAUGGAGGCGGCGAAGAAGGCGGCAACUAAACCUCCUAGACGAUGUGGAAAAUGCUAUAAAAUGGUAUCAUGAUUCAAGGAAUUGCAGCAAAGAGAAGACAGAAAACAUAAAUAAAUCAAUUGUUCAUAUCACUAUUUAUCUGCAUACAUAAUUCCUUGUUUGGAUAUUCCUUAGCAUUCUUGGUUCCAUGUUGGUAUGGAAGAAUAAUAAUCUCAAAGUUAUGUUCUAAAUGUUAUCUCA